ensembl:lncRNA
AUUUGUCUUCAUCCACAUACUCAUAUUGGAUACUGAGUUUGCCCAUAAAAAAGCGUGCUCUAACAGAAUCAUAGAAUUUCUAUGUUGGAAAAGUUCUUAGAAGUCCAAUCUCCUUCCAGCUUUUUUCCAUGUUACAUAGAAUGUGCUUGCUUCUGCUUCCCCUUCCAACUCCUCCACCUGUUCCAUCUCUGGCACCACUGACAUGGCAAGACCAACUCUGCCUCUUCCUCCUCUGUAGCCUACUUAAUGUGAAGAAUACAAGAAUGAAGACUUUUAUGAUGAUCCACUUCCACAUAAGCUUCCAGGAAUGUUUCUCACGUGUUUUCAGCUGCCCCAUCUUGUUUUGACACUUCUGACAGGGACCUGUAUAGAGAUGGGAAGAGGAUCCAGAGGCUGACCUUGGACUUGGGCUGGCCUACUGAUUGCAGACUGCCUGGGCUGCUGCCACUGCUUUGUCUCUCCCUCCAGCUGCACUCAAGGCCCCCAUUGAUCAGCCCACUGAAUGUUUUACAGCUACAGCUUUGGACAGGUCAUUGGAGAAAUUGAUUGCAGUCAAUUCCCAGCAGAUUGAGCCACAGCGACUUGUCUCCUGGUCCCACCAAUAAGCACCUUGACUCCCGUCUUUAAUUACCCUAGUAAGCCUCUGCAUAAUGGUCAGGGCACAAGCUGAUGAGGGAGACAGACAGAGAAAGAGAGAAAGAGAGAAAGAAAGAGAGAGAAGGAAAAUGUGGGGGCUGAAAUAAAACAGCCUUCCCUAGAGUUGGGUGCUUUCUUAACCUGUGCCAGGAAACUGGGUCACAUUUGCUCAUUAUGAAUUUAGCAUGUAGAUUAUUAGAAAACUUGAUUACAAAAUCAAGAAUCAAGUUGGGCUCAAGACUCAAUUCAGCCAACUAAUUUAGUAAAUUUGGCAAGUUAUUUUGCAUAGCUGGGACCUGUUUCACAUCUGUAAAUGAGAAAAUUGCUAAGGUAACCUUAAUAACUACAAACAUGUGUAAAUAGUAAUAAAACCAUCACCCCUACUACCAAUACAAUGAAGACAAAGAUGGCAAUGAGUGCUAGCAUUUAUUGAAUAUUUAGAGGUUUCCAGCACCAUGAUAAAUUACUUACAUGAAUACUUUUUUCUCACUAAUUUUUAAGAUAUCAUCCUAUGAUAAGACAUAGAAAAUAUUUUUCUCUAUUUCACUUAAGUAGACACUGAAGCUCAGAAGUUUAGGCUCUUGUCCAAAUUCAUAAUAUUAAGAAUCAAACUCAAGCUUCUCCGGAGUCUAUGUGAAAUAUCAGAUAGCUUAGAAACUAGUUUACAUACAUUAUCUUGAUUUCAUAUGAAGCCUUGCAGCUCUAUAUAUGCAUACUAGGAGAUAAACUUGGUAGGAGGCAUCUUGGCUUAAUAGUCUUGUGGUCAAAGAGGCCCAAUCCUACUUUUGUCUUAGCACAAAGGGAAGCUCUGUGCCGCUAGUAUUUACAUAUUUGCAUCUUUGCUCUUAAGAAAAACUGGAAGUUUAAAUUGACUGUUGUUUCUUUUUUUUUUUUUUUUUUUUUUUUUUGAGAUGGAGUCUUGCUCUGUCGCCCAGGCUGGAGUGCAGUGGCCCGAUCUCAGCUCACUGCAAGCUCCGCCUCCCGAGUUCACGCCAUUCUCCUGCCUCAGCCUCCCGAGUAGCUGGGACUACAGGCGCCCACCACCUCUCCCGGCUAGUUUUUUGUAUUUUUUAGUAGAGACGGGGUAAAUUGACUGUUGUUUCUAUCCUGUGCAUCACUCUCAAGGCUUCAAGAUCAUUCAGUGAUUGAUUUCCGCAAUGUGAGCAGCAGGCUACCUACUUCAUCUCCUGGAGAUCAACGUCUCCUGGGGGACUUGUUCAAAAACAUAUUCCUGGUCCACUCUAGCACUAUUUAAUCCAAAUUCUUAGAGAAGGGGUCCAGGACACUGCAUUUCAACAAGGGCCCCUGGUGAUUCUUGGGAAUACUAAUGUUUGAGAACCACUGUGACUGAGAAUCAUGUUUUAUCCAGAGCUCAAAUUCAAGGUUAUACCUCACCCUCAUACCACCCAGCAGACCCUGAUUGCCACAACCCUCACAGAGGGUUUUGGCAUUUUUCUCAUUCUUUGUAGUCUGAACUCUUAGGUGUCUACCCAUCAGCCAUCCCCACACCGCUUCCUCCUCCUGUCCUGCUUCCUUGAAUACAACACCCAGUUUCAUCCAGAAGAAUGUACUUAGUCAUAGAGGAUGAAUCGUAAUUGUUCUAGACCAUUGAGCCAUCCCUAUUCUUUUUUUCCAGUGACUGGUUAGGGGUGAGAAUGUCAUCUAAUUCUGGCUAAUAUGAGGCAAAGUCUUUUCGGGGGACUCUUGGGGAAACAUUUUAAUUUAUCAUAAAAGAUAAAUCUACAUAGGGGGAUGGUCCUUUGCUCAAUUCCCUCCCUUCAUACUUUGGACACAGACCUGUGAGUAUGUGACACUUGGAGGUUCUACCUCAAUCUUGCAACUAGGAGGUGACAGAUGAGAAGCCAAUGAGAAGCCAGUAUGGUGAGGGUGGCAGAGCAAAUAAAUCCCUGUGUCCUUGAAGACAAGCUUAGAGCUACCCUAACAUUCCUGAGGUCAACUGAUUCUAGUCUAAUUAUAUGAAUCAUAGAAAUCUUUAUGGGUAAACCACUUAGUCAAGAUAUCUCAUCGCAGCUCAAAGCAUCUUAAGUUUCUCCUUACCCUAUAUUGCCCUUAAGCAUUUCUUCCCCUUUAAAAUCAAUGUAGAAAAAUCAUGCUGAAGUUUUAUUGACCCAGCCUGCUAGCUAUCAUGUGAGAGAGUGAGGUGAAGAGACAUUAACAUGGCCAUGUGACCCUGCUGUCAAAUAUCAGUUGUCCUAACUAAUCUUUGGAUUAUUCUGGCUUGCAGUAAAUUGGUAGUAGGAUUCUCUAAACAGAAUUGGUCCUAUAGAGUAGGGGUCUGAAAACAAUGCAAGCCAAGUCUGGUUUACUGCCUGUUUUUGUAAAUCUCACUGGGAC